AUGGCCGCCUCCUACUACAACCCGCCGCCUGCCAGGACCUCCUACGCUACCCUGCCCCCUCCCCCGCCGGGCACCUCUUCGUACGGCACGUAUCGCCAACACGAGCACGCCUACCUCGCGGCGCACCCGCCGCCCGCGUAUGGCGGCUACUUCGACCGCGCGGAGCCCCUGGCGCCGCCGCGCGACGAGCUGCGCACCCUCUUCAUCGCCGGCCUCCCCGCCGACGUCAAGCCCCGCGAGGUCUACAACCUUUUCCGCGACUUCCCCGGCUACGUCUCCUCCCACGUACGCUCCGGCAAAUCCACCCAGUCGUAUGCGUUUGCUGUGUUUGCAGAUCAGCCGUCUGCGCUAGCUGCAAUGAGUGUCACAAAUGGAUUGACAUUUGACCUUGAGAAGAACUGUUCUAUCCAUGUAGAUCUUGCAAAAUCUAAUUCAAGAUCAAACUCAUCAAAGCGCCCCAGAUCAGAUUAUGAGGAUUUCCCUAAAUCUACUGGGAAAAAAGCUAGAAGUCCAAGGGGACGUCCUGAUUCAGGUGCUGGAAGCAAUAUUCACAUGUCCGGAAUGGGUAAUUCUUCACACAGCUUGAAUGGCUAUCCUGCACAAAGUUAUACAGAUUUUGGUUCUAGUGCUGCUUUCAGCAAGGAUCCAGCAAUAUUUGCUCCUCAAAAUAAUCCGCCAUGUCCUACCCUUUUUGUUGCAAAUCUCGGUCAGACUGUUUCUGAUCGUGAGCUGAAUGAUGUUUUCUCAAGUUGUGAGGGAUUCAUAAAGCUGAAGAUGCAAAACAAGUUCGGAUCACCAGUUGCAUUUGUUGAUUUCAAGGAUGAUCACAGUUCAACUGAAGCCCUGAAACGUCUUCAAGGAGCUAUUCUACAUUCAUCAUCUGGCGAGGGCAUGCGUUUAGAAUAUGCUAAAUCCCGGAUGGGCCUUCGCAAGCAGCGUGACAGCCGGUCCUAA
rnacentral:rRNA from 1 species